CGACGAUGAUCCCAGCUUGCUGGGGGAUUAGUGGCGAACGGGUGAGUAACACGUGAGUAACCUGCCCUUGACUCUGGGAUAAGCCUGGGAAACUGGGUCUAAUACCGGAUAUGACUCCUCAUCGCAUGGUGGGGGGUGGAAAGCUUUUGUGGUUUUGGAUGGACUCGCGGCCUAUCAGCUUGUUGGUGGGGUAAUGGCCUACCAAGGCGACGACGGGUAGCCGGCCUGAGAGGGUGACCGGCCACACUGGGACUGAGACACGGCCCAGACUCCUACGGGAGGCAGCAGUGGGGAAUAUUGCACAAUGGGCGCAAGCCUGAUGCAGCGACGCCGCGUGAGGGAUGACGGCCUUCGGGUUGUAAACCUCUUUCAGUAGGGAAGAAGCGUAAGUGACGGUACCUGCAGAAGAAGCGCCGGCUAACUACGUGCCAGCAGCCGCGGUAAUACGUAGGGCGCAAGCGUUAUCCGGAAUUAUUGGGCGUAAAGAGCUCGUAGGCGGUUUGUCGCGUCUGCUGUGAAAGACCGGGGCUCAACUCCGGUUCUGCAGUGGGUACGGGCAGACUAGAGUGCAGUAGGGGAGACUGGAAUUCCUGGUGUAGCGGUGAAAUGCGCAGAUAUCAGGAGGAACACCGAUGGCGAAGGCAGGUCUCUGGGCUGUAACUGACGCUGAGGAGCGAAAGCAUGGGGAGCGAACAGGAUUAGAUACCCUGGUAGUCCAUGCCGUAAACGUUGGGCACUAGGUGUGGGGGACAUUCCACGUUUUCCGCGCCGUAGCUA
rnacentral:rRNA from 1 species